rnacentral:rRNA from 1 species
GUGCCAGAAGCAUCGGUAAUACGAAGGGGGCUAGCGUUGUUCGGAUUUACUGGGCGUAAAGCGCGUGUAGGCGGGCUGAUAAGUUGGGGGUGAAAUCCCGAGGCUUAACCUCGGAACUGCCUUCAAGACUGUCAGUCUGGACUCAAGGAGAGGCGAGUGGAAUUGCGAGUGUAGAGGUGAAAUUCGUAGAUAUUCGCAGGAACACCAGUGGCGAAGGCGACUCGCUGGACUUGUAGUGACGCUGAGACGCGAAAGCGUGGGGAGCAAACAGGAUUAGAUACCCUGGUAGUCCACGCUGUAAACGAUGAGAGCUAGUUGUCGGCAGGCAUGCCUGUCGGUGACGCAGCUAACGCAUUAAGCUCUCCGCCUGGGGAGUACGGCCGCAAGGUUAAAACUCAAAUGAAUUGACGG